UGAUGAUGAUGAUGAUGAUGAUGAUGAUGAUGAUGAUGAUGAUGAUGAUGAUGAUGAUUCGUCGUCGUCGUCGUCGUCGUCGUCAUUGUCUCUCUCU
rnacentral:pre_miRNA from 1 species